UUCUAAUAAUAGGGGUGCUUUGAAGGCUGAGAUUAUACCCAUUGAACCUGGAACAGGUAAUGCUGUUUAGGAAAUUGAUAAUUUCAAUGU
rnacentral:ncRNA from 2 species